CGUAGGCAGCAAGCGUUGUUCGGAGUUACUGGGCGUAAAGGGUGUGUAGGCGGCUCUUUAAGUUUGUCGUGAAAUCUCCCGGCUCAACCGGGAGGGUGCGGCGAAUACUGAGGGGCUAGAGUGCGGGAGAGGAGAGUGGAAUUCCUGGUGUAGCGGUGAAAUGCGUAGAUAUCAGGAGGAACACCGGUGGUGUAAACGGCUCUCUGGACCGUAACUGACGCUGAGACACGAAAGCGUGGGUAGCAAACAGGAUUAGAUACCCUGGUAGUCCACGCCCUAAACGAUGCAUAUUUGGUGUGGGUCAUUCAGUUGAUCCGUGCCGGAGCUAACGCGUUAAAUAUGCCGCCUGGGGAGUACAGUCGCAAGGCUG
rnacentral:rRNA from 1 species